CAGUAGCCACGGGAAUACGAAGGGGGCUAGCGUUGUUCGGAUUUACUGGGCGUAAAGGGUGCGUAGGCGGAUUGUUAAGUCAGGGGUGAAAUGCCGGGGCUCAACCUCGGAACUGCCUUUGAUACUGGCGAUCUUGAGUCCGGGAGAGGUGAGUGGAACUGCGAGUGUAGAGGUGAAAUUCGUAGAUAUUCGCAAGAACACCAGUGGCGAAGGCGGCUCACCGGCCCGGAACUGACGCUGAGGCACGACAGCGUGGGGAGCAAACAGGAUUAGAUACCCCGGUAGUCCCUGUAUCUUAUAC
rnacentral:rRNA from 1 species